GACGAACGCUGGCGGCGUGCUUAACACAUGCAAGUCGAACGGAAAGGCCCUGCUUUUGUGGGGUUCUCGAGUGGCGAACGGGUGAGUAACACGUGAGUAACCUGCCCUUGACUUUGGGAUAACUUCAGGAAACUCGGGCUAAUACCGGAUAGGAGCUCCUGCUGCAUGGUGGUGGUUGGAAAAUUUCGGCGGUUGGGGAUGGUCUCGCGGCUUAUCAGCUUGUUGGUGGGGUAGUGGCUUACCAAGGCUUUGACGGGUAGCCGGCCUGAGAGGGUGACCGGGCACAUUGGGACUGAGAUACGGCCCAGACUCCUACGGGAGGCAGCAGUGGGGAAUAUUGCACAAUGGGCGGAAGCCUGAUGCAGCAACGCCGCGUGCGGGAUGACGGCCUUCGGGUGGUAAACCGCUGUCGCCGGUGACGAAGCGUGAGUGACGGUAAUGGGUAAAGAAGCACCGGCUAACUACGUG
rnacentral:rRNA from 1 species